AACGAACGCUGGCGGCAUGCCUAACACAUGCAAGUCGAACGAACCCUUCGGGGUUAGUGGCGCACGGGUGCGUAACGCGUGGGGAUCUGCCCUUUGCUUCGGAAUAACAGUUAGAAAUGACUGCUAAUACCGGAUGAUGUCGCAAGACCAAAGAUUUAUCGGCAAAGGAUGAACCCGCGUAGGAUUAGCUAGUUGGUAAGGUAAAGGCUCACCAAGGCGACGAUCCUUAGCUGGUCUGAGAGGAUGAUCAGCCACACUGGGACUGAGACACGGCCCAGACUCCUACGGGAGGCAGCAGUGGGGAAUAUUGGACAAUGGGCGAAAGCCUGAUCCAGCAAUGCCGCGUGAGUGAUGAAGGCCCUAGGGUUGUAAAGCUCUUUUACCAGGGAUGAUAAUGACAGUACCUGGAGAAUAAGCUCCGGCUAACUUCGUGCCAGCCGCCGCCGUAA
rnacentral:rRNA from 1 species